GACGAACCGUGCGAACGUUGUUCGGAAUCACUGGGCUUAAAGGGCUCGUAGGCGGCCAACUAAGUCGGAUGUGAAAUCCCCAGGCUUAACCUGGGAACUGCAUCCGAUACUGGAUGGCUUGAAUCCGGGAGAGGGAUGCGGAAUUCCAGGUGUAGCGGUGAAAUGCGUAGAUAUCUGGAGGAACACCGGUGGCGAAGGCGGCAUCCUGGACCGGCAUUGACGCUGAGGAGCGAAAGCCAGGGGAGCAAACGGG
rnacentral:rRNA from 1 species